UACGAAGGGGGCUAGCGUUGCUCGGAAUCACUGGGCGUAAAGGGUGCGUAGGCGGGUCUUUAAGUCAGGGGUGAAAUCCUGGAGCUCAACUCCAGAACUGCCUUUGAUACUGAAGAUCUUGAGUCCGGGAGAGGUGAGUGGAACUGCGAGUGUAGAGGUGAAAUUCGUAGAUAUUCGCAAGAACACCAGUGGCGAAGGCGGCUCACUGGCCCGGUACUGACGCUGAGACACGAAAGCGUGGGGAGCAAACAGG
rnacentral:rRNA from 1 species